CUCUUCUUGUAACUUUUUUCGUAAGUUUGACAUUCUAUCAAAAGAAAAGAAAACAACAGCAGGGCUAUUUACUGCACAGUAUCUCCUUUCAUUAAGGAAAAACACUUUUCUAAGACCCUCCUAAGGCGGAAGCCCCACUGGCUGGUAAUAGAGGCGCAUGGCCUUUCUCCAGCUGCAGACCAGGUUGGCAAAGCCAAUUUACAUAAAGGGGAGUGGGCUCUUCUCUCAGUCCAGUCGUUUCUCUCCAUCCUCCCUUUGUCUCCAUCCCCAAAGUCAUAUCUCACUUUGAACAUUUUCUGCUCAGACUGACAAGUCUCCCUGACAGGAACUCACCCUCUCCACCCACUGCUUCCUUGCCACUAGGAAGAAGGAAGUGGGGUGUGGUGGCAAUGUGUAGGCUGCCAGCAGUGUCUACCUCAGUCUGAAAUUUUUAUAUUUGACCUUGGCCAUUUUGGAACACAGUGCCAUCAGCAAAGACGAACCAUCCCAGAACCCCAGGUUGUUUGUUCUUUCAUUUAGUUGCCAGGAUUUGUACUAAGAGUUGGGGAAAUAAAGAUAAUACGAUUAUUCUUUAGAAGUUCAUAGGGGAAGGCUUUCAUGAAUAAAUAAUUAUAGCACAAUAAAGGCCUUGGAAGAAUUACUGUAAGCCUGGGAUAUUAUGAACUUACAGAUAAAGGGCACCUAAAACACCCCAAGGGAAGGGUGAGGGAGGAAAGUCUUCCUAGAGAGUGGGAGGGGUGGGGAUGGCAGCCCCUCUUCCUGCUGACAUGGGAGAUAGAAUCAGGCAAGAGUUAACAUGGAUCUUUCCAAUUCUGGUACAGAAUCCCACUCAGCUAUUGCAGCCCCCCAGCAGAGGCAGCAAUUAAACACAGUGUGGGGAAUUGCAGGCAAAAAGCACAGCGUGAGUGAUGGUACAGAGGUGAGGAAAGCAGGGGCACACACUGUGACUGUAAACUGCCCAUUUGGCUUCUGAAAGGAUAACAGGAAGGAAGGAGGGUUGGGGCAGGAAAAAUAAGAAACUCGACUGCAAGGUAAAACAGUUUCAAUUUUUUUCUGUGUGUGCAACAGGGAGCCCCUGAUUGUUCUUGAAGAGGAGAGUGCAAGAUGAGGGUGUGUUUCUGAGCAAUUCAUCUGGAAGUGGUGGGUGGAGAGGGUGAGUUCCCGUCGGGGAGACUUGUCAGUCUGAGCAGAAAAUGUUCAAGGUGAGAUAUGACUUUGGGGAUGGAGUGAAAGCGAGGAUGGAGAGAAAGGACUGGACUGAGUGACCCAUCAGAUAUGAAGGCAAGUGGCAGAGAUGAUUCAGGUGCUCCAAAUGCAAGGGUGGGUGUCAUUAAUAGACAUGAGAAAGGCAGGGGCAGGUGCUGGGUGGUGCCCCAUGGGGACUGUUGUGGGAGAUAAUGCCCAUCCAUGAUGGUGUGACCCAGUGGACCAAGUCAAUCAUGCAUUGUGCUGGGGUUUCAACAGAGAAGAGAUGACGUAUCUCAUGAUCUCCCUGUCCAGCCAUCACCACCCCCUCCUUAAAGCUGUUUGAAGGCUCCCCCUUGCUCCUAGAACAGAGACCAGUCUUUUGAAUUGCCCCAGAACUGGAGCAGGCUGGCCAUGCCUGCCUCUCAUGCCCCAGGCCCACCCUCCUCACCAUGCUCUGUGCUCCUGCCACACCAGUUUUCUUUCAGUUCCAUCCAUGGGCCAUGUUCACCACUGUAUCUCCAACACCAGCAAAUAGGUGUUGAAUAAACUGGUGGGGCUUCCACCACAGGGCCUUUGCACAUGCAUUCAUGUAUCCAUCUUUAACCAUUGUCCUUCCUCUCUUUGCCAACUUAGAGGCAACCUAUCCUUUUUUUUUUUUUUUGGAAACAGGGUCUCACUCUGUCACCCAGGCUGGAGUGCUGUGGCAUGAUCACAGCUCACUGCAGCCUUGACUUACUGGGCUCAGGUUAUCCUCUAGAGUAACUGAUACUACAGGUGUGCCACCAUGCCAGAUAGUUUUUGUAUUUUUUUGGCAUUGUUAAAUUUUAGAUUAAUUUUUAUUGAAAAAAUUUUGUUUCUGAUUGUUUUGGCAUUUGAAAAAGUGCUGUAUUUUUAAAGAUCUGCCCACAUUAGUCACCACAUCCCAUGUGGCACCCAUUGGUGGAGCUUAGGUGGCCCCUGUUCAGUGGUUUCCCAGUACUGGUCUUAUUCCCAGAGGGGUUCAUUCGCUAUUUUCCUGGGCUCUGAGGGCAGCUGAGUCAGGUCCCUGGCUAAAGAGAAGCUCAUCAGUUCCCAGCAGGCCACUUUUCAGUGUACCAUAAAACAUGAUACCUUUGUUACAUUAGUGAUCUGGGAGUAUCUGGAAUAGGCAGGUGGGGCGGGGGUUCUGUCCCAAAGCCUACACUCCCAGUGGAAGUCUGAUGAGAUACAUUGAUAGAGAGGCUCAUUAGUAUUUUACUAUAUUUUCUGCCAGCACUGGGUGUUGCAAAAUCACUGCCAUGGUGUAAAUAAUUAGAUAAGGGUGUAUGUGGAAUUCACAAAACUUUUAUUGAUCUGUUUAUCAUGCCAAAAAAAGUUGUUUAUUUAAAAUUCAAAUUCCACUU
rnacentral:lncRNA from 10 species